GAAAUGCGAUAAGUAAUGUGAAUUGCAGAAUUCAGUGAAUCAUCGAAUCUUUGAACGCACCUUGCGCUCCUUGGUAUUCCUUGGAGCAUGCCUGUUUGAGUAUCAUGAAAUCUUCAAAGUAAAUCUUUUGUUAACUCAAUUGGUUUCUACUUUGGUAUUGGAGGUCUUUGCAGCUUCACACCUGCUCCUCUUUGUUCAUUAGCUGGAUCUCAGUGUUAUGCUAGGUUCCACUCGGCGUGAUAAGUUAUCUAUCGCUGAGGACACUGUAAAAGGUGGCCAAGGUAAAUGCAGAUGAACCGCUUCUAAUAGUCCAUUGACUUGGACAAUACUUUUAUGAUCUGAUCUCAAAUCAGGUAGGACUACCCGCUGAACUUAAGC
rnacentral:misc_RNA from 1 species